ACGAACGCUGGCGGCGUGCUUAACACAUGCAAGUCGAACGGAAAGGCCCUGCUUUUGUGGGGUGCUCGAGUGGCGAACGGGUGAGUAACACGUGAGUAACCUGCCCUUGACUUUGGGAUAACUUCAGGAAACUGGGGCUAAUACCGGAUAGGAGCUCCUGCUGCCUGGUGGGGGUUGGAAAGUUUCGGCGGUUGGGGAUGGACUCGCGGCUUAUCAGCUUGUUGGUGGGGUAGUGGCUUACCAAGGCUUUGACGGGUAGCCGGCCUGAGAGGGUGACCGGCCACAUUGGGACUGAGAUACGGCCCAGACGCCUACGUGAGGCAGCAGUGGGGAAUAUUGCACAAUGGGCGGAAGCCUGAUGCAGCAACGCCGCGUGCGGGAUGACGGCCUUCGGGUUGUAAACCGCUUUCGCCUGUGACGAAGCGGGAGUGACGGUAAUGGGUAAAGAAGCACCGGCUAACUACGUG
rnacentral:rRNA from 1 species